UAGACUGUAAAAUAUUUAUUAGAAGAAGUAAAAGAAAAAUAAAUUGAUGUAGAAAUCAAUAGCCUUUGAAUACUUCAAACAGCCAGACUGAAGAUAUAAAAAAAGAAAUGUCCAAAAUUUUAGUGACAGCAGCAUGUAUGAAAUAUUUAGGACAAAAUGUACAAAUAAAUAGUUGUGAUUUUAAAAAAAUCCAUAAAAUAUUACUAUGGAACCCCAAAGAAGAAUUAUACAAAUGGAAAGUAUUAAUUUUUGAAAUACUGUCAUAUAUCAUACAUUGACAUAUAGACAUCUGUUUUGCCUAAGUUAAUACAUAAAGUUAAUGUGACCCUUAUAGAAGCAACAGCAUAUUUUUCAACCAGACAAGUAAUUCUAAAUUCAUGUAGAAAACUACUUAGCAGUAGUAACCAAAACACCCUGAAGAGUCAUGAGAAGUGACCUUUCUAGAUACCAAAAUGUAUUAUAAAGUGAUGACAAUUAAAAUGGUCUUGUAUUGGCACAUGAAUAUACAAAUCAAUAGGGCAGAAUAAAAAUAUACUAAAGUACUCAAAUAUAUAAAAACAUUAUGAUACAAUCACUAUUUCAAAACAGGAAAGCGGUAUUAUUUUUAAAAGAGUUGCAGGCAACAAAAGAGCAUAGUUGUUUGGAAAAACAAACAAAAAAGCUCGGUCUUUUUUAUUUACAAACGAAUUCCAGAUUGAUCAAAGAUAUAAAUGUAAAGAAGUGCAACCAGAAAUUAUUAGAAAAAAAUGGACUUUUAAAAAAUUUUUUUAUUUUUUAUGACUGCACCUGUGGCAUAUGGAAAUUCCUGGGCUUGGGUUCAAGUCAGAGCUGCAGCUGCCAGCCUGUGCCACAGCCACAGCAACACCAGAUCCAAGCUGCAUCUGCAAACUACAUUGCAGCUCAUUGCAAUGCCAGAUACUUAACCCACUGAGUGAGGCCGGGAAUUGGACCCACAUCCUCAUGGACACUUUGUCGGGUUCUUAACCCACUGAGCCACAACAGAAAUGCAAAAAUGGAUUUUUUUUUUUAAACUCCAGGAAAGCUAAGGUUUCUCUAAGUAUGAAGUAAGUCUUUGAAGUCAUUAAAACAAAUGAUUGAGUCAACCAACUUCUUAAAAAGAAUUCUUCAUGAUUCAAAAUAAAUUGUCAAAAGGCAAUCUGAGGAAGAAGAAUUACAAUUUGUAGAAUAUGAAAGGGCUAGCCCUUAUAUGCAAAAUUUCCCUACAGAUCCAUAAGUAAAAGUCUGACCACACAAUAACAAAUGUGGAAAAGAUAUGAAGAGAUUGUAGAAAAGGAAAAAUAGCUUAAAUAAAAAUUCUGACUGAAACUGCCAUGAGAUACUGUGUUCACCUCUUCAACUGUCAAAGAUCGAAAUGCACGUGGGCAAAAAAGCUGAUAUACUGGCUUGGCAUACAUGCGGGAAGCAGGCACUCUCACACAAUCCUGGUGAAAGGUAAAUUAAUACCACCCUCUAUACUGAGCAAUUGGGCAAUAAAAAUUAAAAAUACAGAUAUUUUUAGCCUCUGGGAUUCCAUUUCUGGAUAUUGAUCCAAUUAAACUCCCAUCAGUACAACUUAACAUAUAAGAUGUUAUGUGUAGCAAAUGACUUGCAAUAACUUAACUGUAGCACGGAAUAGGCGAUUGGUCAAGACAGAUAGAUCAGAAAAGUAUUCAGCCAUUUCAAAAGAAUGAAGCAGUAUUUAUAAACUGAUAGAAAAAAGUGGUAAAAUUAAGUGGAAAAACCCAAGAUGAUAGAUGAUGUAUUUAGUAAAGCUAAAAUUUGAUUUUAAAAGGGGAAAAAUAUAUAUUCUGUAUUUACUCAUAUUUACAUAGAAUAUUUUGGAAAGAAUAUUCAAGGAUGCAAUAGCAAUGGCCAUUUCCAGAGAGAGAAACAUGAAGUCUGGGAGAAAGGGUCAUGAAAAACUUUCACAGAAUAUUUGGUAUUUUUCAAAUUUUAUACCAUAGGUUUAUUUAUGUAUUUUUUAAAAAAGAAAAGGAUGGUAUAGAGAGCCUCAGAGUGGAAAGAACAUGAACUCUAAAUUAGGAGCCAGACCACCUAAACCUAUUCCAAACUCUGCCACUUCCUGACUGGGUGACUUUGGGCACUUAAAUUCUAUUUUUUUUUUUUUUUUUGUCUUUUUAGGGCUGCACCUGGGGCAUAUGGGGGUUCCCAGGCUAGGGGUCUGAUUGGAGCUUGUAGCCACCCGCCUGCGCCACAGCCACAGCAACUUGGGAUCUGAGCCAGUCUGUGACCUACAACACAGCUCAAGGCAACGCUGGAUCCUUAACAUACUAAGUAAGGCCAGGGAUCGAACCUGUGUCUUCAUGGAUACUAGUCGGGUUAGUUAACUGCUGAGUCAUGACAGGAACUCUCAAAGUACUCAAGUUCUCUGUGGCCUAUUUUUCUCACCUUUAAAAUGGGAAUAUGAUCCUUCCUUUCCUCUCAGGCUGUUGUGAGGACGACAUUCAUUAAUACAUGUAAGGCAACAUCGGGUACUUAACACAGAAAAGGGCUUAAUUAAUGUUUUCUCCUCAAAAUAAUAGGGUGAAACACACAAACACAGACAUACUAGGUAUCCAUAAAAAGCAGGCUGCCUAGACAGUACUGGGACAGCUUAGAAAAAGAGAGGACAGCCACUUUGGAUUCAAGACCAGGACUGAGUGUCCAGGAGGAUAACAGCCACAGAACCUCUAAGCGAAAGAAUGCAGAUAUCUAUCAGUUUAGUUUUUGCCAAUUCAGUCCUACAGUUGCUGUUCCAAAGGGUCUGGACAUAUACGCACCAUCACCACCACGGCCGCCAUGACAAAAUGUGAAUAUAAUGUAGAUUUAGGGAGAAAAAUUAUUAGCUGAGAAACAGAAAAACAUACCAGGUCUUCUAGCUUUGCUUCUUUCAGAGUGCCAAAACCAGGGACAGCUGAACAGGGUCCAGCAUGGACAAGGUUCCAGGGGAGAGACCCAGCUUUCAGAGGGCCAGAGAAUGUAGCGCGAGAGUCCUGGUCCAGGAAGUAGCCUUAGAAAAAGAAGCUUUAUGACCUUGACCUCUAGCAUCAGCAAGUCUUCACUGAGCCAAGUCACAGCCACUGAACCAGGUUUUGGCUGAGCUCUGAGAAGCAAGGGCGUGGGCCUCCCAAGGCCAUCCAGAUUUAUCUCCCUCUGAUACUGUAAUUUUAUAUCCUUUAUGUGUUCUCCCAAAAGAAUUACACUACUACCUGGGCAUAUUUUAAUUGGUGAGUGGCCACAGUGAGAUCACAUUAAGAAAUUUCGUGAGAGUUUUAGGUUUUAUUUUGGUGUUUCUAGAGACGCCUGCAAAGGUGUAGAACACAUCUCUUCUCAUUAUUUGAGAUGAUAAAUUCAAUAGGACCCAUUACUUUGUAUAAUUACACGGUUCAGAUCAGAAGAAAUUCUCCACCUUUAGGCAAUGACU
rnacentral:lncRNA from 1 species